rnacentral:lncRNA from 1 species
UGCCCCUUUCACUCUCUCUCUCUCUCUCUCUGGCGAUUCAGAUCUGGAUCUAGGGUUUUUCUUCAAGGCGAUUCAAGAUCUAGCCUUUCUCACUAACAACAGAUCGAUAAACAAAUCUCAAUGUAGUGAAUAAAGCUUUGAACUCUUCCACACCCAACUUCAAAUCUGUAGAUGCUUGAUUUUCCUUCUAGGGUUUCUCAUACUCCACAACCCGUCGUCGCUGUUGAAGACAUAUCUGUCCCUCUAAAAAGUGGUUGAGGUCCAUCUCAACUUUGGUCUUCUUUGCAGUCUCUCCUUUAUGAGAUCGAACCUCGUAGUGAUGUUUGGAAUUGUUUUGGUUGUUCUAGCUUCUCCGACAAGCUUCUGGAUUUCCCAGCUUGGCUCGUGAUAUUCCUGGAAUAGCGUUCUAACUGACAAUGAACCAUUCAAGGUUGAUAACAGUGUGAAGGAAUCCACAAAUGAGGUUAAAAAUUCUGAAAAAAAACACAUGUUGUUCAGAUUUGUUGCUCAAAAUACCAACAAGACAUGCUCAAUUAGAUGCAUCUAAAGGCGGUACCUCAUCACGUGUUGUUAAAACUUAAAAGUGUAAGAUUUAAAGAGAAGACUCCUCGUGACGGUGAAAGAAGUCCUCUUCUACAUCCUGAAAGCCAUAUUGUUACCAAGAUUAAGUCUAUAUUCCACGGGAAUCGAUCUUGGUCUCUUCCGGUCAAACAAGGGUCAAACAUGUCCCCUUCGAUCACUACGCCUGUUUCAGCUAGGACAUAUAGUGAACAACAAAAAUCUCAGGUAUUCUUGCCGAUUACAUUAUUCCUAUACGACUCAUUAUAUAAUAUAACAUGAUCUGGUUCACAUGUUGGAUGUGCGUUUUCGAAAGUGAUUUAUCAUUUAUGUGACUUUAAUACACCAAAGCCAAUAAGCCAAAAGCUCCCCAAGGUAGACUUGCAGAAGCUUACAGUUUUUGUGUUGGUGGUGAACCGCUAAAGUUUUAGAGAUGGCUCAAGCGAACAGAGUUAGAGACGUUGUGGAAAUACAACGUGAGGACCAUCUUCACUGGUUUCGUUCCUACGUGUUGUAACCACUGCUACUAAUAUUGGAUCCAAAGAUCGUUGGGGAAAAGUACGUUCCAUAUUGGCCUAUUGCUAACAAAGAUACUGUGGUUGCACCAGAUUUGGCCAAGCUUUUUGUGUACAACCUUGGUACACCUGCUGACCAUUUGCAGUUCUGAAGCCUGGGUGACUCCGAUAUCUCGGGUCUGGUCAUGGUUAAUCAGGCCCGAUCCAAUCUCCUUACCUCAGAGCUUCAUCGAAGAUAGGUUGAGGCCGAGGUUGAAAACACGAAAUUGAGAUGUCAACUGCAGCAUAUUGGAAAGCACAGUGCACCCCGUUGGGAUCCUACUUUGCCAUACACACAUCAAUUUGAAGAGCUAAAGAAGAGCUUAGCCAAGGCAACCGCUGAUGGGCUUGCCCGCCAGGAUGCCGAAGAAAUUUUGGCGAAGACCAAAGCUUCGCUGGAGGUCAUGAUCGUGACUGUUGAAGCACAGCGAAAGGGGUUUCAAACCAAAAUUGAUGACCUUUCUAAGUCAUACGGGAAACAAAGCAAGUUGUAUGCUGAACUGGCAGCUGGUUAUUCUAGCUGAAGAAGUUGCUGCUUCAAAUGUUACCAUCUCCGACUUAACAACACAGAUUUGUGAUGCUAUCCAAGCUAGGGCAGAACAAGGUGUGCGCAUGUGCAUGCGGUGAAUGGUGAUUACGGAGAGAAAGGGUGGGAAGGGGCUUUUUGCCGGAAAAAACACCCACAGCUGUAGGCUGCAGCUAAUAAGACGAAUGAUGAUGGUGAAAAUUGCCGUAGGAGUUGGCUGAUUGGCAACAUGGUUGAGUUUAAAACCUAAGAGCUUGGAUUUUGUACAAGCUGCUGCUCUCUCUAUUGCAAUUGAGAUUGCCUAUGACGGUCUAGAAAGGGUUGGCUUUGGUGUAGGUAUAUCCAUGCUUGUUUAAAUCAAGCUGCUUAGGAGUUAAAGCGGCGAUCUGGCAAUCCACGUGAUGUGAGGUCCUAUGACGAGAAGAUUCAUAUUUUCUUAUUGAGUAACCAACUACAAAUAGAAAUAUUUUUAAUGAAACCUUUGUUGACCAGAUUUAUUUAUAUUAAAUAGCUUUAGUUAUUUGGUACCUUUUUAUAAAACAACCCGUUUUGACACGAAUCUAAUUUGGGUAAAGCGUGUUCUGACCCGGCCCAAAAUGUC